CCGGUGUCGACUUACUAGCUGCAAGCCUCUGCCUGCCUUCCUGCGCGCCGUUCCCCGCUAGUCGCUGCUGCUGGCGCGCACUCGCCGGGUUUUUCCUCCCACGGCCUCGAGAUGGUGGUGAAUGUGGCACGGAGGAGCCGGGCCUUCCAACCCGGUGGGCCCGAGCUCCGAAAGGCCCCCUCGGCAGUGAGAGGGGCGGGAGCCCGCGGGGGCCGCGCCCUUCUCUCGCUUCGGACUGCGCAACGCUGCGCUCUGGGCUGACAGGCGGAUAAAACGGUCCCAUCAAGACUGAGAAAAAGCACACCAGCUAUUGGCACAGCGUGGGCAGUGGGGCCUACAGGAUGACUGACUUAGUCUACAGAGAUCCCGGCGUACUUAAGCAGAUGAAGACUCUUAAGAUGACAGAAGGUGAUUUUUCUGGUGAUCGAGGACUUCCGGGGUAAUGACAGUGAUGAAAUGCAGGGGACCUGGUUGCCCCCAAGUUUCCUGGCAGUGUGUGAUACUGAGGAGGUGAGCUUGUUUCUGGAGCUGUGCUUUAAGGACAAUCUCUAUGGGAAGCAGAAGGCAAGGACCCCGGUCAUUUUAGGUAGAAACAACAGCAUGCUAAUGCAAAAAAUUAUGCAGUGUGCUACUGAACUUCAGAGGUGAUCAAUAAAAGAAGAAUAAAAAGACUAA
rnacentral:lncRNA from 1 species